UGAGGAAUAUUGGACAAUGGGUGAGAGCCUGAUCCAGCCAUCCCGCGUGAAGGACGACGGCCCUAUGGGUUGUAAACUUCUUUUGUAUAGGGAUAAACCUACUCUCGUGAGAGUAGCUGAAGGUACUAUACGAAUAAGCACCGGCUAACUCCGUGCCAGCAGCCGCGGUAAUACGGAGGGUGCAAGCGUUAUCCGGAUUUAUUGGGUUUAAAGGGUCCGUAGGCGGACUCGUAAGUCAGUGGUGAAAUCUCAUAGCUUAACUAUGAAACUGCCAUUGAUACUGCGGGUCUUGAGUAAGGUAGAGGUAGCUGGAAUAAGUAGUGUAGCGGUGAAAUGCAUAGAUAUUACUUAGAACACCAAUUGCGAAGGCAGGUUACCAUGUCUUAACUGACGCUGAUGGACGAAAGCGUGGGGAGCGAACAGG
rnacentral:rRNA from 1 species